UACGUAGGGCGCAAGCGUUGUCCGGAAUUAUUGGGCGGUAAAGAGCUCGUAGGUGGUUUGUUACGUCUGCUGUGAAAACCGUAGGGCCUUAACCCUGGGCCUGCAGUGGAUACGGGCAGACUAGAGGUAGGUAGGGGAGAAUGGAAUUCCCGGUGUAGCGGUGAAAUGACGCAGAUAUCGGGAGGAACACCGGUGGCGAAGGCGGUUCUCUGGGCCUUACCUGACACUGAGGAGCGAAAGCGUGGGG
rnacentral:rRNA from 1 species